GAUGAAGAACGUAGCGAAAUGCGAUACUUGGUGUGAAUUGCAGAAUCCCGUGAACCAUCGAGUCUUUGAACGCAAGUUGCGCCCGAAGCCACUAGGCCGAGGGCACGCCUGCCUGGGCGUCACACGUCGUUCCCCCCCCAUCUACUCCUUCGGGAUUGCGGGGGGCGGAUGAUGGCCUCCCGUGCGCCUCGCCGCGCGGUUGGCAUAAAUACCAAGUCCUCGGCGACGCACGCCACGACAAUCGGUGGUUGCGAAACCUCGGUUGCCCGUCGUGUGCGUUCGUCGCGCAUCGAGGGCUCGAAAAAAUGCUCGGCUCCGGCUCGGCUUUCAACGCGACCCCAGGUCAGGCGGGGUUACCCGCUGAAUUUAAGCAUAUCAAUAAGCGGAGGA
rnacentral:misc_RNA from 1 species